rnacentral:misc_RNA from 1 species
GAUGAAGAACGUAGCGAAAUGCGAUAAGUAAUGUGAAUUGCAGAAUUCAGUGAAUCAUCGAAUCUUUGAACGCACAUUGCGCCCGCCAGUAUUCUGGCGGGCAUGCCUGUUCGAGCGUCAUUUCAACCCCCAGGCCCCGCCUGGCGUUGGGGAUCGGCGCGGCCCUCUCCGGGCUGCCGGCCCCGAAAACUAGUGGCGGUCUCGCUGUAGUCCUCCUCUGCGCAGUAGCAACGCUCGCACUGGAACUCGGCGCGGCCACGCCGUAAAACACCCCACUUCUGAAAGUUGACCUCGGAUCAGGUAGGAAUACCCGCUGAACUUAAGCAUAUCAAUAAGCGGAGGA